UUACUAUAUAUACAAGGAGUUUGCAACAAGCUGGCACAGAAAGAGUAAACACAAAGAGAAAUUAAAUGAUCUCGAGAUGAAUGGGGUUUAUGUAAUGCAUCACAGAUCCAUAAUGUACACAAUUGGACAAAAAGAAGACAAAAAAACUUCUUUCAUAACACAAUAUUCCAAAAGUUACACAGUGUGUUCUGUUCUUGUUUCAGUCCUUUGACCAAAUAUACGAGUAAACAAAAUAGACAUCCAUAUCCUUUUUAACACAUAUGUGAGUCAUCAUACCUAUGAAAAACGUCAACAGUUGUAUAUGCAUAAAGAUUACUGCACAUACACAUAUGUAUAGAGGGAUUAAUGGAAACAGAAGAGACUCAAUGCUCAAAAUAGCAUAAUCUUAUUCCAACAUUGAUACCAAUGUGAAAAAAAUACUCACAUUUUGACAAAUGAUUCCACAAUGAAUGAACUAAAUAUAUAACUAGAAAAAAGAAAUGUAACGUUACCAGUUCUUGAACUUUUAUAAUAUCUUUCACAAAAACUCUCUAGCUUAAGUGUUUUCCUUAUCCGACUAUCCCAAUUUCCCACUAUUCAACUAUCCACCUAAUAUUUUACUCAAGGCCCAACUAAGAACUUAGUGGUAGAAUAAUCAGAAGUUCAUACUUGUGUUUCAGUGGCAGCUUCCAUUUAUCUUUAACUGAUUAUCCCUAGCCUUUUGAUUUCACAUAUCUGUUAAAGACCUUAAUUAGAAUCAUAAAUAUUCACAUAACUUACAUAGAAGCUGCAAUGCCCAAGAUAUUGAGCACAUCAAUUCCAAAAUUCUCGCCGUUAAUACCAAUCUGAUUCCAUAGAUACAAGUGCAAUCUGCAUAACUUUGACUCACUUUGUGACGUUGAGGGUAGAGACAAUUCAUGUGUGCUAGAGUCUGCCAAAAAGAAAAGGGUUUGUUUCAACGAUAACAGGAUAUAUCUUAGUACUAAGAAUACAAACAUCUUUUUCCUACGAAUCUAAACAUAAUGGAUCAACAAAAUCUAACACAAUUAAUGUAAAUAUAAACAUUAAAUUAUAUGAGAUACCUUCACAUAUAUAUAUGAGUAACGAUACAUAUUAUAAGACAAAAUCUAAUACUCAUCAUCAUGAAUUUUUAAAAGUUUUGAAACUAGAUAAACUGAAAUUGGAUAUAAAUAUAAAGACAACUAGAUGCAAUCAUACAUGUAUGCAUAAAUUUAGUAUGCACAAACCAGAUAGAUAAUCAAGAACACAAAAGGACUAGAACAUCAAUAGUAAAAGGAAGAUUCAUGAAGGAGAAGUUAUGACAGAAAGAGAGUGAGCACGCAAAAGCAAACCAUAUACAAAGAGUUUUAUACAACUUCCCCUUUGUGUGCUCACUCUCUUCUGUCAACUUCUUUUCCCCCAUCAACAUACAUGUAUAUACAUUUUUCUAUAUAAGCUAGGAUGAAAUAAAAUAUGUUUUGAAAACAACACAAAAGAAACAAGGAUAUAUAUAUGUAUGUAUGUGUUAAUAGAUAUAUAGGAAAAUCCAAUUAGUCCAGAAACCGAUGAAAUAACAAAAGGUAAAACAGGAAAAAAUAAAAAAAAAGACACAAGUACAGAUCGAAGGUACUCUGAGAUCAAAUCUGGGAACAAACAGCAACCAACAAAGACUUGAUCGAUGGAUCCAUAAAAGGAAAGUAUAAAUCUAAGUACGGACACUGCAAGUUAGGGUUUCUUCUCCCAGCCUUAGAUUUUGUUUGAUUCUUUAAAAAAGGAACUGAAUCUAGAAACAAAGGUAAAGGAGAUAAACUCAAAAUUGCAGCUAGAAACAAAAGUUAUAAAACAAGCUUAUUUAAAACUUAAUCACUCUCUCUCUCUCUCUUUCAUGCAAAGCAUUCAUGUGUCGGCUGCCUCUCUCUCUCUUU
rnacentral:lncRNA from 1 species